rnacentral:rRNA from 1 species
GUCGAACGAACCCUUCGGGGUUAGUGGCGCACGGGUGCGUAACGCGUGGGAAUCUGCCCUUUGCUUCGGAAUAACAGUUAGAAAUGACUGCUAAUACCGGAUGAUGUCUUCGGACCAAAGAUUUAUCGGCAAAGGAUGAGCCCGCGUAGGAUUAGGUAGUUGGUGGGGUAAAGGCCUACCAAGCCGACGAUCCUUAGCUGGUCUGAGAGGAUGAUCAGCCACACUGGGACUGAGACACGGCCCAGACUCCUACGGGAGGCAGCAAGUGGGGAAUAUUGGACAAUGGGCGAAAGCCUGAUCCAGCAAUGCCGCGUGAGUGAUGAAGGCCUUAGGGUCGUAAAGCUCUUUUACCCGGGAUGAUAAUGACAGUACCGGGAGAAUAAGCCCCGGCUAACUCCGUGCCAGCAGCCGCGGUAAUACGGAGGGGGCUAGCGUUGUUCGGAAUUACUGGGCGUAAAGCGUACGUAGGCGGUUAUUCAAGUCAGAGGUGAAAGCCCGGGGCUCAACCCCGGAACGGCCUUUGAAACUAGGUAGCUAGAGUCUUGGAGAGGUCAGUGGAAUUCCGAGCGUAGAGGUGAAAUUCGUAGAUAUUCGGAAGAACACCAGUGGCGAAGGCGACUGACUGGACAAGUACUGACGCUGAGG